UACCCAGACUCCUACGGGAGGCAGCAGUGGGGAAUAUUGGACAAUGGGGGGAACCCUGAUCCAGCGACGCCGCGUGAGUGAAGAAGUAUUUCGGCAUGUAAAGCUCUAUCAGCAGGGAAGAAAGAAAUGACGGUACCUGGCUAAGAAGCCCCGGCUAACUACGUGCCAGCAGCCGCGGUAAUACGUAGGGGGCAAGCGUUAUCCGGAUUUACGGGGUGUAAAGGGAGCGUAGACGGCUGCGCAAGUCUGAAGUGAAAGCCCGGGGCUCAACCCCGGGACUGCUUUGGGAACUGUGUAGCUAGAGUGCUGGAGAGGCAAGCGGAAUUCCUAGUGUAGCGGUGAAAUGCGUAGAUAUUAGGAAGAACACCAGUGGCGAAGGCGGCUUGCUGGACAGUAACUGACGUUGAGGCUCGAAAGCGUGGGGAGCAAACAGGAUUAGAUCCCCGUGUA
rnacentral:rRNA from 1 species